GCCAGCGUGGCGUAGCGGUUUGAGCAUUGGACUACGACUCUGGAGACCAAGGUUCGAAUCCCAGCUCGGCCA